ACAUGAGGAAAGAAGUAGGAUGGCAGUGGAUGAUGUAAGAAUAUGGCUUCAAUGGAAGAUGUAAGAAUACAGGACUGGCAGAAACGGAUGAAAUCAUCAUCCUACUCCUACUUCUGCUGUGCCAACCUGCAGAUGGUUGCUUCAGCUGCCAAAAACCUUUGACAUAGCAAAUGGUCUCUGUCCCAGCCCACUCAACCCAGAGACGUGAAGAGUUUCCCUCCUGGCUCCAGCUGGUGGUGGCUUAAGCCCAGGAGAGAAAUCUCAGCAUCAUGCCAAUGCAAGAAUUUUGUUAUCCCUGCUCUUGGGAGAAAGGCUCCCAAUUUUCCUUCUUUGCUCUAAAAAAACUAUACUCAGAGUGUUGGAUGACUUUUCUCCAUAUCAGUGAAUCUGCUUAUCGACAUCCUGUUAGAGGCCUGUGCAAAUAGUCUUCAAAAAGGAAUAAAUGAAAGACACUAGUGAAAAGCGAAGUUUGACCAGAGGGCAAAGUUCUGUCAAAAACACUUUAUUUUCCUCUGUUACUGAGACACGAACAGAUGUUUGUUUAUAACAAAAUGCCUGUGUUGGGAUUUUUGAAAGCCCAGAUGAGGAAAACUGUAUCUCAUUGCUGCUAGGAGUGCAGCCAUGUCCUAGCUGCAACCUGGGUUGGUGUGUCCUAAAAUACUAUAUUUGGAGAUUCUGGGAGUGGAAUAAAAGUGUAUAUAUUUUUGCUGAAAGGAGAUAGGGCUGUCAGUUCAGAAACACACUGAACAUCUGCUCUGGCUGAGCCCUGUGGUUUAACUAGAUUACAGCCCCACAUUAAAAUGAUCGUCAGUCAAUCAGAACGCUUCCUCAGUCUGAGAAACAUAACAUCACGCUCAGCGCUGCAGUUUCCAAAGAAGUCGAUGUGUCAUGGUAAGAAAAAAAAAAAUCAGAACAGAGAAAUAUUUCACAGUUGUGGUUUGUUUGGCUUGUGUGACAUCACAGACUGUUUAACCUAGGAUCAAACAACUUGGAAUUUGUUGUCCUAAAUGACUUUAAAUCUAGCUAAUUGUUUUGAGCACAUCUUGACUAUUAACUCUAAUUAGAAAAAUGAAAUAUAAUUCAUGUUCUUUUAGCUUUGGGAGUGUUUCCAACCAAUAAAGCUGUAGCACAGACCGCAAAUUUGUGUUGUUUCAGUGGCACAGAGAUAAUUUUCCUUUUAUUUCAAGCCCUUGAUAGCCAUUUAAGACUACCAGAAUACAGGGCUAAUAACUUAUAGGACUAUGAAUUGCCAGGGAAGCUCUGUUUUAUUAAUAAAAAGAAAGCCACCAUUACAAGAAGAAACCCCAACCUUGCCAGGCAAAUCAAGAUAACCCUCUUCAGUUGGCGUUUGGCUGUGAGCUAGUUGUAUCAUGUGUAUACAAAUAAUCCCUUGCCAUAGACAAGUUGAUAACAAUUGAAUAAAUUGUUUGUUUGUCUGAAGUAUCGUACAUGAUGCUUUGCAAGGCCUUUUGCUGUAGAAAUUUUGAAUUACUUUAAUAAAUGCAGCAAGACAUUUAAUUCUUAGUGUUUAAUUAGUUUGGUUUUGGCGUUGUGAAAUAGAGAAGAUAGAAAUGUGUAUUUUCUUCUAUAUGAUGCAUGUAACAUAAUUUUUGAAGUCUAUUUAAUAUAGACCAGCCAGAAAAUGUAUUCAGCAUUGUGGAAACACAGUGUUAAUGAAAAAAAUUCUAUAAAUCAAUGUUCAGCAAGUUGAUGCUCCCUUUCAGAAACGCCCACUGCAUGUUGAGGAAGCAUCUGGUGCAACUUGGAUGUUUUUUGUCACUGAUUUUAAUAGCUGAAUGUGCAAAAGAGCUUACUGCAAAUAUUUCAAGAUUUUUGCUGAUGGAAGUUACAGAUAUGAAUUGAGAGACUGGAAUCAAGGGACAGAUUAUGGCUGUUUGGAGCCUGAAGCACAUUGUAGCAUACAGAUCCCGUGUGCUUCUCCUGCCCCCUUCUCGUUCCUUCCCUCACACACUCUUGGAACUGCAGUGGGGGGAAGGCUUCCCUCUCAGGAAGCAUCAGUGAUCCUUUUCCUUUGCAGACAGGAAAUUUCUUGGAAGACAGACAGCUAUGUUCCCCCAUGCUUUGAAGGCUUGGCUUAGCCUGCCGCACUUUUCUCCUGGUAAUAUUUGACCAGUCCUUUAUUGGGGUGAUGCUGAAAGAGACCUUGCAGCAGCAGAUCUCACUGAGAUAAAUGUUCAUAUUGCAGACUUUAAAAAGACCACACUGCAUCAGAUAAAUGUCAUGUUGUCUACCCUUUUGGGGAAAAAUAAGGACUAGAAUAAUUGGGAAAAUAAAAUGAAGAACUGGGAAUCCAAUACUAUCAGAUGAUCUCAUGAUCUGGGAUGGUAAGGAACAGCAUUAAGGUGUUUGUCCUACGAGAAGCUGCUACAAAAAGCCACAUUUACAGGCAACACCAUAGUUCUAUGUAAAGUUCUAAGAAAGCAAACUCUGUUCCUUAAGGGAGGAAGGUGAUGGCAGAAUAAAACAAUGAAACCUCAAAAUGAGAUAAUUGUUAUUUUUUCAUCUUGGAUGUUUUGUGUUUUAUUGA